GGCGCCGCGAGGGGACCCCUCGGCUAUCCGCGCGAGGAAGGACGCAGAGAAGGCGAAAGAGCGCGCAGGAGCGGGCGCGGCUGUGGCGGAACGGACGACGCGCGUGAGGAGACCCGCAGAACUUAAGCAUAUCAGUACGCGGAGGAAAAGAAACGAACACGGAUUUCCGGAGUAGCGGCGAGCGAAAGGGAAAGAGCCCGCGGCGAACCUGCGGGGGUGUGCGGCGGAGCGCGCUGCGGAACAGGCGGGGACGGCCGCGCAGAGAGGGUGGAACGCCCGUACGCGGCGCGCGCAGCGGGAAGAGUAGGCGUGCGUGGGAGGGCACGCCGAAGGGUGGAGCGGGCCAUCGAAGGCAGAAUACACGGGUAGGCCGAUAGAGAAGAAGUACCGCGAGGGAAAGGAGAAAAGACGCGCGGGAGCGGAGUGAAAAGGCGCGAAACACGCGGCGCGAAGCGCGCGGGGCGCGGGCACCCGCGCGGCCCGUCUUGAAACACGGACCAAGGAGCGCUGCGCGCGCGCGAGCGGAACGUCGGGAGGACGGAGCGCGGCGGGCGCGGAGAGCCGGGGAGGCACGGAAAGUGCGCGCGCAGCGGCCCGAAACGCGGUGAACUACGCCUGCCGCGAGCGACGGCGGGGGAAGCCCCGGCAGAAGCUCCGAGGGGGCCUGACGUGCAAAUCGGUCCCGGGAGGUGGGCGUAGGGGCGAAAGACCAAUCGAACCGCGUGGUAGCUGGUUCCCCACGAAAUGUCCCGCAGGACAGCCGGCCCGCGGGCGUGGCGCGCGGUAGAGCGGACGAGGGCGGCCUCGAACUGCGAACGCGCGCGCAGCAGCGGGCCGAGUGGGCGCGCGCUGGUAAGCAGCACGCGCGAGGCGGGGUGAACCGCGCGCACGGAUAAGGGGCCGCGGAGGACGAGGAGAGCGGGGAAAGCCGGGCGCGGGUCAGGACAGCAGGCCGGUGGCCAUGGAGGUCGGCACCCGCCAAGAAGUGUGUCGCAACUUUCCUGCCGAACCCGCGCGCGCUGAAAAUGGAGGGCGCUGGAAGUCCCCCCGAGGCCGUGCCAUGCGAAUCCGCGUGUGUAGUGGGGCGGUCCGGGCGCAGAGAAGCGGCGCGGCGACGCGGCGUGGAGCCCCCGGGCGCGCAGAUCUUGGAGGGAGUAGCGGGCUUGGCGCCAAGGGCCGAGGAGGAGAAGGGUUUCCGCGAGGAGAGAGCCGGGCCUAAGGCGCGCAGCGUGCGCGGCGAAGGGGAAGAGAGAGCGCCGCGCGCAGAACGGCAGCGGCGCGGGGGCCUUGACGCGCGCGGCGCACGGGGCGCAGAGAGGCAUCUGUGCCCGCGCGCGCUUGGACGCGUGGAGCAGCGAAGAGGCACAGGCGUGCGGCCGCGCGCGCGUGAAAAGAGGCCCCCGGGGAGCGCGCGCCCGUACCGAAACCGCAGCAGGUCUCCGAGGCGCGCAGCCUCUGGCGCGGGGAAGCGCGGGUAAGGGAACUCGGCAAAAUAGACGCGUAACUUCGGGAGAAGCGUUGGCUCUGGCGGCGCUAGAACCGGAACGCCGGGGGAGUCUGACUGUCUAAUUAAAACAUAGCCUCCCGGAGCCUCGGGGUGCGGAGGGGAGGUGAGUUCUGCCCAGUGCCCAGAGAGUCACCGCGGGGCGAGCCGCCGAAGCGCGGGUAAACGGCGGGAGUAACUAUGACUCUCUUAAGGUAGCCAAACGCCUCGUCAUCUAAUUAGUGACGCGCAUGAAUGGACGAACGAGAUUCCCGCUGUCCCUACCUGCCGCCGGCGAAACCACAGCCAGGGGAACGGGCCUGGGCGCGCAGCGGGGAAAGAAGACCCUGUUGAGCUUGACUCUAGCCGGCGCGGGCCGCGCGCGCCGCGCAUGUAGCCAGGCGGGAGACCUUGUCGCGCGUGAAAGACCGCUGGCGCGGCGCAGCGCGGCCUACUGCCUGAAAGGCGCACACGUGCCGGUGGGGAGUUUGGCUGGGGCGGCACGGCUGCAAGA